rnacentral:rRNA from 1 species
AUACGUAGGACCCAAGCGUUGUCCGGAAUUACUGGGUGUAAAGGGUGCGCAGGCGGGCUUGUGCGUCAGAGGUUAAAUCCCACCGCUUAACGGUGGAACUGCCUUUGAUACGGCAAGUCUUGAAUGCGAGCGAGGUAGGUAGAAUUCCUGGUGUAGCGGUGAAAUGCGUAGAUAUCAGGAGGAAUACCAGUGGCGAAGGCGGCCUACUGGCUCGUUAUUGACGCUCAGGCACGAAAGCGUGGGGAGCAAACAGGAUUAGAUACCCUGGUAGUCCACGCCUUAAACGAUGUAUGCUUGGUGUUGGAGAAUUUCUUCAGUGCCGAAGGUAACCCGUUAAGCAUACCACCUGGGGAGUACGAUCGCAAGGUUGAA